CCUGGCGGCCAUAGCGCCGUGGAACCACCUGAUCCCAUGCCGAACUCAGAAGUGAAACGCGGUAGCGCCGAUGGUAGUGUGGCAUUCGCCAUGCGAGAGUAGGACUCUGCCAGGC
rnacentral:rRNA from 1 species